rnacentral:rRNA from 1 species
CCCUUAGAUGUUCUGGGCCGCACGCGCGCUACACUGAUGCAUUCAACGAGCCUAUCCUUGACCGACAGGUCCGGGUAAUCUUUGAAUCUGCAUCGUGACGGGGAUAGAUUAUUGCAAUUAUUAAUCUUCAACGAGGAAUGCCUAGUAGGCGCAAGUCAUCAGCUUGCGUCAAUUACGUCCCUGCCCUUUGUACACACCGCCCGUCGCUCCUACCGAUUGGGUGUGCUGGUGAAAUGUUCGGAUCGGCCGUUUGUCGCGGUUUCCGCGGCUCGUGGCUGAGAAGUUCAUUAAACCCUCCCACCUAGAGGAAGGAGAAGUCGUAACA